AUAUAGAGUGAGAAAUAUAAAAGUACAGUACCAUCAUCAAUGGAUCUUGGAACAUCAUCUAAUCCUUUAACAAACACUCUCAUCUUUGAUUACAGUUUCUGCAAUCACACUUCCUUCUCUACAUCUCUAAUGUCUUCUCCUAAUUCUUCUAAUUUGAUGUCUGCAUCAUCAUCAUCAUCAUCAUCUUGUAACCCCAUUACUACCUAUCUUGCUGUUCAAGAAUACAACUGAAUUGAUCAUUUUUAGCAUCUUUUCUUGUAUUUUACCACUUGUUUCUUGUAAAGUUUCAAUCUUUUCUACUUUUCUUGAAGAAAUAAUGUUGUUUGCAUCACAUAUGACCUGUUCUUCGUUUUAUCGGUCUCUUUUCAGGUCUGGAAUUGAUCUGAAUGUUGAUAAGAAGUUCAAGAACUUGAGUAUUUUCACUACUCCAGCCACCAUGAUCAAGCAAAAUAAGAGAAGAUUGGUCUCAUCACCCAUGGCAGCAGCUGCUCCUGUGAAAACUGGUGGUUGUUCUCCUCUCAAAUAUUAUCAAGAGGUUCUGAGUGCUGCAAGAGCAAAUUUUACACAAGAAAUCUCUUUCCAGUGUAAAGACAAAGACAUAUCCCUUGCAAAGGCUCUAUUGCAUGUAUCUACGGAAUACGAGGCAUUUAUCGCUUAUAAUCGCGAGAUGGAUGCCAAUUCAUUCCAAAACGAACGCGAAGGUAGCGAAGUCUCAUCUGAAGGCCUAGAUUUAAGUCAAACGGAGUCUACAAUUUUGGCGGGAAAGAAUAUAGAAGAUUGGUUGUUAGAAUUGGAUGCCAUUGCAAAAGAAGUUGAGGUUGAUCUAAUUUCCAGAGACAUAGGAUGCCAUUUGAUUGAAGUUUUGGAGGCGGUCAACAGUGUUCUAUUCGAGUCGAUGGGUUUCAAAAGGUCAACCGUGGUGGAUUCUAGUUGUUCCUAUUUGCAUUCUGUGUUAAGUUCCAAAUGUGGUAGUGCAAUUUUGCUUAGCAUAAUCUACAUUGAGGUUUGUCGAAGACUAAAUUUGACUAUCGUUGGAUCCUGCGUGGGGGAAGACUUUCUGAUCUGGCCCCAAACAGAAAAUCCGGAGGAGCUUUUUAAGGUAAAUUCGGGGCACAGCUUAUUCGGGAUAGUCAAUGGACGAUGUGUUGACAACCCAAAGUCAAAGGCAUCGGAUUUAAACAGCAAUUCGCUUAUGGGACUCGAUAUUGCUACAAACCGGGAUAUUAUCGGGAUUUAUCUUGCUAAUUUGAUUAGGCUUCACUGGAAACGGGCUUCAAGAAUGACCCACGGGUUAAUGUUGACUUCUCCACUUAGGCCUGUUCAUGAUGAUAAGACCGAUGGUUCAAGCAUACCAUUGUUGCGUCCUCAAGAUCUUAGGUUUCAAGAUUGACAUGAGAAUUGAGAGGAGAAUUUGUUAAAUUCUGACCAAUGCCCAAUAAUCCACACUCUCUAAUAUUAAAACUGAAAGAAUAAAUACAUAACCUUUUAACCCGUAUGAACGGACGAUUCGGGGCUGUUUGUUUACCUCUUAAUGAGGCUCUUAAUGGUUCAGACCUCUUACUGGUUCAGCACUUACUGGUUCAGCACUUACUGGUUCAGACUGUUUGUUUCACAACCAGAUGUCUGAAUGGUUCAGACAUUUGCCUCUGAAUGGUUAAGAUUUAUACAGAGUCUGAAUGGUUAAGACCUCUAAUCUGAAUUGGUCAGAUAUUUGCCUCUGAACGGUUAAGCAUUAUACAGGCUCUUAAUAGUUCAGACAUCUUACUGGUUCAGCACUUAAUGGUUCAGACCUCUUACUGGUUCAGCACUUAACCAUUCAGAUGUUGCCAAACAGCCCCGAAGUCAUGUUUCUAAAACCACCAUGUUACUAAUAUGAUAUUUAACAAGUCAUAUUUGUUAUCUUUAUAAUAUGGUACAUAGAAAGAUAUGUCAUGUAUGUGUUAAGACAAUCAAAUUACAUAUCAUUGUUGGGAACUUAUCUAUCAUAAUUUAUAAGUCAAUAAUUGACUUUAUACUCUACACCAGAUACAAAAUAAGAACCUGAAUUCUAAGCGGGUCGAUUAUUGUUUUUGGCAUGUCAUAUAUUUUCUUAUGCAAUAGGCUGGCGAUCAUGGCAUCCGAGAAGCUGCUGAUAUUACAGCCUCAUAAUUGGGCUUUAAGGAGAGAUCAUGGCAUGAUGUUGUAUUUCAUGAGGGAGUAUGGAGAGGCAGUUCAAGAACUAAGCAUAUGCAUGGCGUUUGCACCCGAAGAAGAGGCUGAAAUCUUGGAACCGUUCGUGGAGAAAUUGCAUUUGUUGAGGAUUGAAUCAUCUUGGAAAUCAUUGGGACAUAAAGGUCACUUGAAGGUUACUUGAAAACAUGUUUGAUUGCACAAAAAUUGUAUCUUCCCAUUUUAUCCUUUGGUGUAUCAACAAAUUGAUAUUGUAGAUAUGUGGUGGUUUAAUUUUGUAAUCUGUAGGGUUAUUACUUGGUUACCACGCGUUUUGAGUUAAAUGUCAUUUUAGUACAUGUGGUUUGGGUCA